rnacentral:rRNA from 1 species
GAUGAACGCUGGCGGCGUGCCUAAUACAUGCAAGUCGAGCGAACGGACGAGAAGCUUGCUUCUCUGAUGUUAGCGGCGGACGGGUGAGUAACACGUGGAUAACCUACCUAUAAGACUGGGAUAACUUCGGGAAACCGUAGCUAACACCGGAUAAUAUUUUGAACCGCAUGGUUCAAAAGUGAAAGACGGUCUUGCUGUCACUUAUAGAUGGAUCCGCGCUGCAUUAGCUAGUUGGUAAGGUAACGGCGUACCAAGGCAACGAUGCAUAGCCGACCUGAGAGGGUGUUCGGCCACACUGGACCUGAGACACGGUCCGGCCUCCUACGUGAGGCAGCGGUAGGGAAUCUUCCGCAAUGGGCGAAAGCGUGACGGAGCAGCGCCGCGUGAUUGAUGAAGGUCUUCGGAUCGUAAAACUCUGUUAUUGGGGUAGAACGUAUGUGUAAGUUACUGUGCGUAUCUGGUCGGUACCUGAUCAGAAAGCCACGCCUAUCUACGG